CCUACGGGAGGCAGCAGUGGGGAAUAUUGGACAAUGGGCGCAAGCCUGAUCCAGCCAUGCCGCGUGAGUGAUGAAGGCCUUAGGGUUGUAAAGCUCUUUUAGCAGGGACGAUAAUGACGGUACCUGCAGAAAAAGCCCCGACCAACUUCGUGCCAGCAGCCGCGGUAAUACGGAGGGUGCAAGCGUUAUCCGGAAUCACUGGGUUUAAAGGGUGCGUAGGCGGCAUGAUAAGUCAGAGGUGAAAGCUUGCGGCUCAACCGUAAAAUUGCCUUUGAUACUGUUAUGCUUGAAUCAGGUUGAGGUAGGCAGAAUGUGGCAUGUAGCGGUGAAAUGCAUAGAUAUGCCAUAGAAUACCAAUUGCGAAGGCAGCCUGCUGGACCUGUAUUGACGCUGAGGCACGAAAGCGUGGGGAUCAAACAGGAUUAGAUACCCUGGUAGUCCACGCCCUAAACGAUGCUAACUCGACAUGUGUACUUCGGUGUGCGUGUCCAAGCGAAAGCGUUAAGUUAGCCACCUGGGGAGUACGUCGGCAACGAUGAAACUCAAAGGAAUUGACGG
rnacentral:rRNA from 1 species